AGCGAACGCUGGCGGCAGGCCUAACACAUGCAAGUCGAACGGAUCCUUCGGGAUUAGUGGCGGACGGGUGAGUAACACGUGGGAACGUGCCUUUUGGUUCGGAACAACGCAGAGAAAUUUGCGCUAAUACCGAAUGUGCCCUUCGGGGAAGAUUUAUCGCCAUUAGAGCGGCCCGCGUCUGAUUAGCUAGUUGGUGAGGUAAAGGCUCACCAAGGCUACGAUCAGUAGCUGGUCUGAGAGGAUGAUCAGCCACAUUGGGACUGAGACACGGCCCAAACUCCUACGGGAGGCAGCAGUGGGGAAUCUUGCGCAAUGGGCGAAAGCCUGACGCAGCCAUGCCGCGUGAAUGAUGAAGGUCUUAGGAUUGUAAAAUUCUUUUCACCGGGGACGAUAAUGACGGUACCCGGAGAAGAAGCCCCGGCUAACUUCGUG
rnacentral:rRNA from 1 species